rnacentral:rRNA from 1 species
UAAGGAAUAUUGGUCAAUGGACGCAAGUCUGAACCAGCCAUGCCGCGUGGAGGAUGAAGGUCCUCUGGAUUGUAAACUUCUUUUAUCUGGGACGAAACACUUCUUUUCUAAGAGGCCUGACGGUGCCAGAUGAAUAAGCACCGGCUAACUCCGUGCCAGCAGCCGCGGUAAUACGGAGGGUGCAAGCGUUAUCCGGAUUCACUGGGUUUAAAGGGUGCGUAGGUGGGUAUGUAAGUCAGUGGUGAAAUCCCCGAGCUUAACUUGGGAACUGCCAUUGAUACUAUAUAUCUUGAAUACCGUAGAGGUAAGCGGAAUAUGUCAUGUAGCGGUGAAAUGCUUAGAUAUGACAUGGAACACCAAUUGCGAAGGCAGCUUACUAUGCGGUGAUUGACACUGAGGCACGAAAGCGUGGGUAGCAAACA